AGAAGCAGCAUCUAAACCAGAAACAAACCUCAGUUAGAUUUUACCGUGAUCCCCUCCAGCACAAACAAGUACCUUACACUCCAACUACAACUUUGACCACGAAAUGCAACAACAAAAGACACAACCCUAGCGUCGCACGAUUUACCCG